ACCUCUGUUAAGGCUUCCAUCUCUGAAUGCUCCCGGGAUCCAUCCCAGUUAUCUUGGAAGCUAGGCAGGGUUAGGCCUAGUGAGUAUGGGAUGAAAGGAUUGUCUGAGACUACUGGGCAGUGUAGGCU
rnacentral:rRNA from 14 species